GGGGCAGGGACACGGGGAACAGAAAAGGGUCCCUGUGGCUGGAGCUCCCCAAUCCAGGAUUUCUUCACUCCUGAGUCACCUCCUUGCAGCAUUCCUGGUGAUUCAGGAUGGCUGCUAUUCUCCUGGGGAAGCCCUGGAGUUGACGAUGGUCCUGUCACCCAGCAACACACAGACCCAGAUUCCUAGAUGGCCUUGUCCUACUCAGACUGCCAGACUUGAAAGCCCAGCUCCUCUCCAUGUGUGCCGUGUGACCUUGGGGAUGUUCCUCAAUCCCCUUGAGUCUCGAUUUACUCAUCUGCAAAGUGAAGAUCCAAACAUGA